UUCUCAAACACGCAUUAUUCAAAAACCCUAAUUAUCAUCUUCUUCAAUUCUCUGGCGAUUUCAUACUUCUUCAGUUGUCUCAAACACAAAAACUCUAAUCAAGGUAUCUUUAUCAUCUUCAACUUGCUUUCAGAUCUUGAAGUUUUAUUCACGAUUAAUUUCCUUUUCAUUUUUCAAGUUUUCAUCUUCUUUCCUAUUUGAAGUUUUCCUUUUCCCUUUCCAAAACCCUAAGUUCAACCAUGGCCGCACACCUCUUUCAGUUUUAAAUAUCCUCAAAGUUCAUCGCUAUCGAUCUCCUUCUUCAGUUUUAUCAUCAAUCAAAGUUCAUCGCUGUUGAUCUCCUUCUUCACAUGAAUCUUCAGUUUUAUCAUCAAUUUCUGUAAAUGAUUUUCGAACGAAUAGGAUUAUAAAACGUGGUUAUUAUCAUCAUCAUCAUCCUUUGAUUUUGUAAGAUUUGUAUUCAACCUUCCUUUGUUUAAAAUGCCGAUCGAAGAAUAAGGAUUGGAAAAGCAUAGACGUCUUCCAUCCCAAACCAACCAUAUCAAAAAUCGCCCAGUUACGGAGAAGGUAGUAGUGGUCGGAAAGUACUUGAUAUUGAUCUGAAUGAGGUUCGGGUCGGUACGAUGGAAGAAGAUGAAGGUGGGAAUGGGAAUGGGUAUGCUUCUUCAUCAUAUAACUCAAAUAUAGGCGAGGUUAAAGGUACCCAAUAUGUUUAUGUUUAUGUUUAACGCAUUUGUGAAAAAAAGUAGAUUGAUAUGCAUAUGUACUAGGAAUAUACUGGAGUUCAAACUGGGAAUUUGUCAAGUCUAAUAAAAGAUAAAUCAAUCACCAGCUGAGUUUUUUGUACCUUUGAUUGCAAUUUUGUGACAGGUAUUAUUGUGAUCACUGUUUUUUUCUUGAUCCAUAAUCAUAUUUAGCUUAGAAUUUUGAACUAUGAGUUUUGGUUUAUAUUUAACAUGAAAACAAAAAGUCACUUAGUGUUUUUGUGUUUAUGCAUAUAAGGUUGGUGACCAAGAUGAAAAGCUGGCAGAAGGUAUCAAGCUUUAUGCUAUACCAACCACUUCAACUAGAAAGCGUGAGAUAUAAAGAGUUGCGAGGACUGGACAAUUCGGUUUUCCACGUAUCGAUUUUACCAUUCGGUUUUCCAGUCCCAUAAACGGCAUUAUAGAUAAGAAUGCAAAGAUUGGAAAUGAUGUGGUGAUAAUGAAUAAAGAUGUGGAAAGUGGUCAUGUAGCAGCACGUUAUAAUCAUCGUUUUCAUCCGUGUGAAGAAAAUUCAUAGUUGAGGAGUGGCAUACGCCAUUAAAUCACGUACAUGGAGCAAAGGCUUGGUUUUCAGUUUCUGAUUGGUCAAGACCCCAUUUAGCUCUGUAUUGAACCUGUAGAUUCGACUCAGGUAUUUGUGUUCUCUAUUUUUUUAGAUGUGGGGUCCUAUCCGGUUAUUAGCCUUUAUUACCGUAAAGGUGUCUACAAGGUAGUUGCGGUUCCAUUCACGCCAGCUUUGAUGUUAUAUUAUAUGUUAUAUAAUGAUUAAUGAUGUCAAAUUCAAGAGAUAUAUGCAUAUGUGCAACUAUCACCGAGGGUGAAUUUUGGAUAACUUGCCAAGUUAAGUUCUACUCAAAAUAGAUUGGUUUUGCACUAC
rnacentral:lncRNA from 1 species